rnacentral:rRNA from 1 species
AUGAGCUUCCAGGACCUGGAGGCCGGGAACGGCGUCCGCGGGACGCCGCGGAGGAACGGCCGGGCGGCGGGGGCCGGCGCCGGCUCGUCGCAGGCCGUCGCGUCGGGCGUCUUCCAGAUCAACACGGCGGUCGCCACCUUCCAGCGCCUCGUCAACACGCUCGGCACGCCCAAGGACACCCCCGACCUCCGCGACAGGAUACACAAGACACGAGCACACAUAACACAACUGGUGAAGGAUACAUCGGAGAAGCUUAAGCAAGCUAGUGAGGCGGAUCAUCGUCUUGAAGCCACCCCUACCAAAAAGAUUGCUGAUGCGAAGCUAGCAAAGGAUUUUCAAGCAGUCCUAAAAGAGUUUCAGAAAGCUCAACGAUUAGCAGUAGAGAGAGAAGCUGCAUAUGCUCCUUUUAUUACUCAAGCAGGUCUACCACAGAGCUAUAACUCAACCGAGAUGAAUAACGGUGCUGAUAAGUUGGCUGAGCAGCGCACUCAGCUUCUAGAAUCAAGAAGACAAGAGUUAGUCUUCUUGGAUAAUGAGAUUGUGUUCAACGAGGCCAUCAUUGAGGAAAGGGACCAGGGAAUACAGGAGAUUCAACACCAAAUCACUGAAGUAAAUGAGAUCUUUAAAGAUCUUGCUGUGCUAGUUCAUGAUCAAGGAGCAAUGAUCGAUGACAUUGACACUCAUAUCGACAAUUCUGUUGCUGCGACUUCACAAGCAAAAGGCCAGCUUUCAAAAGCUGCUAAAACCCAGAAGUCAAACUCUUCUCUGAUAUGCCUGUUGAUGGUUAUUUUCGGGGUGGUGUUGCUCAUAGUGAUAAUAGUCCUUGCAGCCUAG